rnacentral:rRNA from 1 species
UCCAGACUCCUACGGGAGGCAGCAGUGAGGAAUAUUGGUCAAUGGGCGAGAGCCUGAACCAGCCAAGUCGCGUGAGGGAAGACGGUCCUAUGGAUUGUAAACCUCUUUUGCCGGGGAGCAAAAAGCGGUACGUGUACCGCAUCGAGAGUACCCGGAGAAAAAGCAUCGGCUAACUCCGUGCCAGCAGCCGCGGUAAUACGGAAGGUCCGGGCGUUAUCCGGAUUUAUUGGGUUUAAAGGGAGCGUAGGCCGGCUUUUAAGUCAGCUGUGAAAGUCCGCGGCUCAACCGUGGAAUUGCAGUUGAAACUGGAGGCCUUGAGUGCACACAGGGAUGCCGGAAUUCAUGGUGUAGCGGUGAAAUGCUUAGAUAUCAUGAAGAACUCCGAUCGCGAAGGCAAGUGUCCGGGGUGCAACUGACGCUGAGGCUCGAAAGUGCGGGUAUCAAACAGGAUUAGAUACCCGAGUA